CCUUAUGUGUUUCUGCAUAAUUAUAGAGUAGCCAAAACCUGUUUUAGGUUAAUCACCUCUGGCAAAAUAAAUGAUAAAAGCAUAGCUUUUGUAAGCAGAAUGAUAUUACAGAAGUAACUUAUAAAUCUAAGUGUAUUAAAGACACUUAGGAAAUUUAUGAUAAUGCUGGGUCAGCAUUACAGCUGUAGAAAAUUAACAGUUGGCAUUUGGCUUAGUUCAAGUAUAAUGCUGUUGACAAGUAUAUCUGACACAUGUCAUUGAACUAAUAAUAUUUUUGAAAGCUGAUAGGUAGGUACUUAUUUUUAAAGCUAUAGAGGUAAUAUUUCAUCAGGUUGCAGAUUUGUUGACAAAUGAACGAGUUUGUAGUAUUGCUAACAAGGAGAAGAAUUACUAGCAAGUCUUGAUGUUACUUUUGAAGAGUGUGAUGAUUGCAUUUAGGAAGAUAUCUAAACUUCU
rnacentral:lncRNA from 1 species